rnacentral:rRNA from 1 species
CACGUAGUUAGCCGUCCCUUUCUGGUAAGAUACCGUCACAGUGUGAACUUUCCACUCUCACACUCGUUCUUCUCUUACAACAGAGCUUUACGAUCCGAAAACCUUCUUCACUCACGCGGCGUUGCCCGGUCAGACUUCCGUCCAUUGCCGAAGAUUCCCUACUGCUGCCUCCCGUAGGAGUCUGGGCCGUGUCCCAGUCCCAGUGUGGCCGAUCACCCUCUCAGGUCGGCUAUGUAUCGUCGCCUUGGUGAGCCGUUACCUCACCAACUAGCUAAUACAACGCAGGUCCAUCUGGUAGUGGUGCAAUUGCACCUUUCAAGCAACUAUCAUGCGAUAUCUACUGUUAUGCGGUAUUAGCUAUUCGUUCCAAUAGUUACUCCCCCGCUACCAGGCACGGUUACCUACGCGUUACUCACCCGUUCGCAACUCAUCCAGAGAAGCAAGCUCCUCCUUCAGUCGUUCUACUUGCAUGUAUUAGGCACGCCGCCAGCGUCGU